rnacentral:rRNA from 1 species
GCAAGAUUAAAACUCAAAGGAAUAGACGGGGACCCGCACAAGCGGUGGAGCAUGUGGUUUAAUUCGACGAUACGCGAAGAACCUUACCUGGCCUUGACAUAGAAAGAACUUUCCAGAGACGGAUUGGUGCUAGUUUACUAGAGCUUUCAUACAGGUGCUGCACGGCUGUCGUCAGCUCGUGUCGUGAGAUGUUGGGUUAAGUCCCGCAACGAGCGCAACCCUCGUGUUUAGUUACUAACAGUUCGGCUGAGGACUCUAAACAGACUGCCUGGGUAACCAGGAGGAAGGUGAGGACGACGUCAAGUCAUCAUGGCCCUUACGGCCAGGGCUACACACGUGCUACAAUGGGGUAUACAAAGAGCUGCAAUACGGUGACGUGGAGCAAAUCUCAUAAAAUAUCUCCCAGUUCGGAUUGAAGUCUGCAACUCGACUUCAUGAAGUUGGAAUCGCUAGUAAUCGUAGAUCAGCAAUGCUACGGUGAACACGUUCCCGGGUCUUGUACUCACCGCCCGUCACACCAUGGGAAUUGAAUUCAUUCGAAGCGGGGAUGCUAAAAUAGCUACCUUCCACAGUGGAUUUAGUAACUAGGGUGAAGUCGUAACAAGGUA